rnacentral:rRNA from 1 species
CCUACGGGAGGCAGCAGUGGGGAAUAUUGCACAAUGGGGGAAACCCUGAUGCAGCGACGCCGCGUGAGUGAAGACGUAUUUCGGUACGUAAAGCUCUAUCAGCAGGGAAGAAAAUGACGGUACCUGACUAAGAAGCCCCGGCUAACUACGGGCCAGCAGCCGCGGUAAUACGGAGGGGGCAAGCGUUAUCCGGAUUUACUGGGUGUAAAGGGAGCGUAGACGGCAGCGCAAGUCUGGAGUGAAAUCCCAUGGCUUAACCAUGGAACUGCUUUGGAAACUGUGCAGCUAGAGUGCAGGAGAGGUAAGCGGAAUUCCUAGUGUAGCGGUGAAAUGCGUAGAUAUUAGGAGGAACACCAGUGGCGCAGGCGGCUUACUGGACUGUAACUGACGUUGAGGCUCGAAAGCGUGGGGAGCAAACAGGAUUAGAUACCCUUGUAGUC